rnacentral:rRNA from 1 species
UUGAACGCUGGCGGCAGGCCUAACACAUGCAAGUCGAGCGGUAGCACAGAGAGCUUGCUCUCGGGUGACGAGCGGCGGACGGGUGAGUAAUGUCUGGGAAACUGCCUGAUGGAGGGGGAUAACUACUGGAAACGGUAGCUAAUACCGCAUAACGUCGCAAGACCAAAGUGGGGGACCUUCGGGCCUCAUGCCAUCAGAUGUGCCCAGAUGGGAUUAGCUAGUAGGUGGGGUAACGGCUCACCUAGGCGACGAUCCCUAGCUGGUCUGAGAGGAUGACCAGCCACACUGGAACUGAGACACGGUCCAGACUCCUACGGGAGGCAGCAGUGGGGAAUAUUGCACAAUGGGCGCAAGCCUGAUGCAGCCAUGCCGCGUGUGUGAAGAAGGCCUUCGGGUUGUAAAGCACUUUCAGCGGGGAGGAAGGCGAUAAGGUUAAUAACCUUGUCGAUUGACGUUACCCGCAGAAGAAGCACCGGCUAACUCCGUGCCAGCAGCCGCGGUAAUACGGAGGGUGCAAGCGUUAAUCGGAAUUACUGGGCGUAAAGCGCACGCAGGCGGUCUGUCAAGUCGGAUGUGAAAUCCCCGGGCUCAACCUGGGAACUGCAUUCGAAACUGGCAGGCUAGAGUCUUGUAGAGGGGGGUAGAAUUCCAGGUGUAGCGGUGAAAUGCGUAGAGAUCUGGAGGAAUACCGGUGGCGAAGGCGGCCCCCUGGACAAAGACUGACGCUCAGGUGCGAAAGCGUGGGGAGCAAACAGGAUUAGAUACCCUGGUAGUCCACGCCGUAAACGAUGUCGAUUUGGAGGUUGUGCCCUUGAGGCGUGGCUUCCGGAGCUAACGCGUUAAAUCGACCGCCUGGGGAGUACGGCCGCAAGGUUAAAACUCAAAUGAAUUGACGGGGGCCCGCACAAGCGGUGGAGCAUGUGGUUUAAUUCGAUGCAACGCGAAGAACCUUACCUGGUCUUGACAUCCACAGAACUUUCCAGAGAUGGGUUGGUGCCUUCGGGAACUGUGAGACAGGUGCUGCAUGGCUGUCGUCAGCUCGUGUUGUGAAAUGUUGGGUUAAGUCCCGCAACGAGCGCAACCCUUAUCCUUUGUUGCCAGCGGUUCGGCCGGGAACUCAAAGGAGACUGCCAGUGAUAAACUGGAGGAAGGUGGGGAUGACGUCAAGUCAUCAUGGCCCUUACGACCAGGGCUACACACGUGCUACAAUGGCAUAUACAAAGAGAAGCGACCUCGCGAGAGCAAGCGGACCUCAUAAAGUAUGUCGUAGUCCGGAUUGGAGUCUGCAACUCGACUCCAUGAAGUCGGAAUCGCUAGUAAUCGUAGAUCAGAAUGCUACGGUGAAUACGUUCCCGGGCCUUGUACACACCGCCCGUCACACCAUGGGAGUGGGUUGCAAAAGAAGUAGGUAGCUUAACCUUCGGGAGGGCGCUUACCACUUUGUGAUUCAUGACUGGGGUG